rnacentral:rRNA from 1 species
UACGGAGGAUCCAAGCGUUAUCCGGAAUCAUUGGGUUUAAAGGGUCCGUAGGCGGUUUUAUAAGUCAGUGGUGAAAUCUCCCCGCUCAACGGGGAAACUGCCAUUGAUACUGUAAGACUUGAAUAAUUGUGAAGUAACUAGAAUAUGUAGUGUAGCGGUGAAAUGCUUAGAGAUUACAUGGAAUACCAAUUGCGAAGGCA